rnacentral:rRNA from 1 species
AGCGGCGUACGGGUGAGUAACACGUGGAUCAUCUACCUUUUAGUGGGGAAUAACUUUGGGAAACCGAAGCUAAUACCGCAUAAGCCUGUAAAGGGAAAGCAGCAAUGCGCUGAAAGAGGAGUCCGCGGCCGAUUAGCUAGUUGGUGAGGUAAUGGCCCACCAAGGCGAUGAUCGGUAGCCGGCCUGAGAGGGCACACGGCCACACUGGCACUGAAACACGGGCCAGACUCCUACGGGAGGCAGCAGUGGGGAAUCUUGCACAAUGGGGUCAACCCUGAUGCAGCGACGCCGCGUGAGCGAUGAAGCCCUUCGGGGUGUAAAGCUCUUUCGGCAGGGACGAUAAUGACGGUACCUGAAGAAGAAGCUGCGGCUAACUACGUGCCAGCAGCCGCGGUAAUACGUAGGCAGCGAGCGUUGUUCGGAAUUACUGGGCGUAAAGAGUGUGUAGGCGGUGCUCUAAGUUCGGUGUGAAAUCUCCCGGCUUAACCGGGAGGGUGCGCCGGA